rnacentral:rRNA from 1 species
UACGUAGGUGGCAAGCGUUGUCCGGAUUUAUUGGGUUUAAAGGGUGCGUAGGCGGCUUUGUAAGUCAGUGGUGAAAUAUGGCAGCUCAACUGUCAAGGUGCCAUUGAUACUGCGAGGCUUGAGUACAGAUGAGGUAGGCGGAAUUGACGGUGUAGCGGUGAAAUGCUUAGAUAUAGUCAAGAACACCUAUAGCGAAGGCAGCUUACUAGGCUGUAACUGACGCUGAGGCACGAAAGUGUGGGGAUCAAACAGG